UCAGUUCAAGGCCUUCAUUUCUGGACCCGUUCCCCAAAGUCUGUGGACCAGAGAUGGGAGUUCUAAAAGAAAGUCUCCAAGGUAAGAAGCUUCGUAAGGUGACUGGCAUGGCCCAGAGUCCUCUCUGUGAUACACGGCUUCAUUCCUUUUACUUCAUGAGGACGUCGCCGGUCCUUGCAAAAUUCCAAGGAGGCAGAAAGGCUACAUGGUUGAUCUCGUCUCCCCUGGCCGCGCACUGACUUUGUUAUCCGCAGUGAAUGAGGCUCCUACGGUCGAGCGUUGCCGCGGGACUGCAGCUCUUUAUUCUCCGCGAUGUUUCUCCCGAGAACGGUGACGGGGCUUCGGUGACAGUGUGCGUCAUAGCUAUAGCUACGCGAUCCUUUCUUACGCCCUCUUGUUUAACAAAGAGAAAAGAAAGACCCUCACCCUCUGCGGUGCAUUUCCCGUGAAUGCGUGUCCACGUGAAAGAGAGACCCAUGCCGGAAGGUCCUGGCAGGCACAGGCCCUUCUGACCGGUUAAUUUGCGAGAAAGCACAUUUGCCUUGAAGAACCGCAGAUCGUCCGAUGUUUCUCAACACUCCGAUCGUCGGCAGCAGCGGCUCCAAGCGGAUACGCCCUGGAAUAAUAAGCCCGUGGGCUUUCGAGUAAAUCCAUUCCCCAAUCUCCUCGUCAAUCAGGACCCCGGUGCCCGGAUUCACAGUCCAGAGGUGCUCAGGGACCGGCUGUGGGGUCUUGCCUGCUUCCUUGUUUUCCCGCAUGCCUUCCUUUUCAGCUCAAACAUUUCGGUUUUCUUUCGGGGGUCCACCCUCUCUGGGGCUGACAGUCAAGAGUGUGUCAGAACUGGGUGACAUGGGUGUUGCCACACCCAUUCAAUCGGAAUGGAUGCUGGCUAUGACACCUGCUGAACCCAGAUACGCUCAUCGGGUACUGUUUUGAUGAGUCCUGACAUCUAGAAGCCUUGUCCUUCCUUCUCCAAGGGCCAAGCAGGAACCGAGCUAAGCCAAGCAGGCCCUCCAUCCUGAGAAUCAGCAAGCUGAUCAGCGACACACACACAGGGCCGAAAACGUUUGGCACAGGGUGGGUCCCAUGGGUACUGCUUGGAAAUGCCAGCCCCUGGUGUGCCCUGCUUCCUGCCCUUCCCCAGACCUCAUUGCUCAGCUUUUCCUUUGUUCCAUAAACUAUACUAGUCCAAUAAACUGUAUGUAUUGACUUA